UCCCUGCCGGAGCCAAAGAAAUUCUGCUGUUGUCCAGAAAGAAAAUGCAUUUGACGAGGGACCGCUUUAGCAGGAGCUGAGAAGCCCCGAAGGACAGGCUCCCCUGCCGGGGGCCCCCGGGGGCCUCUGAGCCCCACCUUGAGGACCUCCUUUCGGCUGGCCGUGCUCUUUCUGAGUUUGGGGUUCUUUAUUCCCCCUUCUAAGAGAAAGUGCUAAUUGUACAUGGAAGUGGGAAGCGGUCCCCCUCGGAGCUGCAGUCUGGCUUGUGUCCGAGGCACAUGGGUCGUCCUGCUGCCCUCCUAGCUCGGAUGCUCCAACAGAGACCCUGCUCGUCCGUCUAUGCAUCCACCGUCCCAGGUGGGGACCACUCUGGUGCAAUAGCUGAGGUGGGUAUGCCCGGCACCCCACCUGCCUAUGUGAGCUCGCGCCCCGUGGAGGGCCUCCAUCCUCUGCUGCGGACUCCUGCUACCCCGCUCGGCUCACCCCACGGAAGCAUCCUGGCCCCCAUCAGAGGCAGGAAACUCCGAGUGAUUUUGUAACUUCUGUAACGACGGGCAGAUGGAAGGGCCGCUCUGCUGCCCGUAGAGACGGUUUCAAAGGGCGGCUCUGAGCGGGAGCUCGUUAUCCAUUUUUAUAGAAUUCCACAUCCUCUCGGAAUCUCGGGAUUACAAAACGGCCGCCGAGAAAUCGUGCGCCCCAUUAACAUCGAGACUUUUAUGUAUUUACAAUUCAGCUUAAAUUUUUACCAGGAGAGGGUUUCAGAUGCAACACAUGUGUUAGUCACUGCGUGAAUUGCGAAACCAAGGGAGUAUCUCCAAAGUGCUGGCCUUGACGGUGUAACCUGGCAAGGCUCGGGGACGAAUAAAAAUAACACGGCAUCAGCA
rnacentral:lncRNA from 12 species